AGAGAAUCACUUGAACCUGGGAGACGGAGGUUGCAGUGAGCUGAGAUUGUACCAUUGCACUCCAGCCUGGGGGACAAGA
rnacentral:snRNA from 1 species